rnacentral:rRNA from 1 species
UACAGAGGUCUCGAGCGUUGUUCGGAUUCAUUGGGCGUAAAGGGUGCGUAGGUGGCGCCGUAAGUCGGGUGUGAAAUCCUGGGGCUUAACCCCGGAACUGCAUUCGAUACUGCGGUGCUUGAGGACUGGAGAGGAGACUGGAAUUCAUGGUGUAGCAGUGAAAUGCGUAGAUAUCAUGAGGAAGACCAGUGGCGAAGGCGGGUCUCUGGACAGUUCCUGACACUGAGGCACGAAGGCCAGGGGAGCAAACGGG